rnacentral:rRNA from 1 species
AUGGACGCCGCGGAGGUCGCGGCGAAGGUAUGCGCCCUCGAGGCCGAGCUCGCCGCCACUUUCCCCCGCAUUGCCGACCUGGAGGCCCGGGUCUCGCUCCUCGAAGCCGAGAACGCGCGCUGGAGGAAGGCCAUGCCCAGUGGGGAGGUCUCCGGUCGAUUGGUGGAGGGUUUGGGCGGCCCCAAGCGAAAAACAGUCCAGGCGGUGGGAGUACCCGGCCUGGCGUAUGCUUCUUUUAACGAGGUCGGUGACGGCGAGGAAGAGGGGGUCGCCGCUGAUGCCGGCAACGGGAGGAGCGGCGAGGAGGAUGGCGUUCCCGCGGUGCCGACCCCUAGGAAGCGUGCAUUGCUUAGAAUAAUUGACAGUGAUGAGGAGGAUGACGAGACAGAAGGGCGCCCUGCACCCACCAUAAGGCGCUUGACUCGCUUAGCGGAAAAACAGUCGAAGAAAGCACGAGUCGAACCCAAUGAUCAUGAAGAGAGCGAGGAUGGUUCGGGACAAGAUGGUGAUAUGGGUGAAUCUAAAAAUGAUGCAGAUUGUUCAGAAGAUUCUGACAGCGAGCAGAUGGAUUACACCUUGCUGAAGGAUGUGACCCUGGCUUCAAACAACCAGGUGAGGAUUCGAGUCAGAAUAACGCGCAUUUCGCAUUACAUGGGCAAGUAUCAACCAAGAGGAAUUCCGCAGGUUGAUUUUGUGAUGCUCGAUGAGCAGGGGGGUAUGAUGGACGGUCAAGUACCUGCGUGGCUUGCACAGCUCUUUUUGCAACGCAUCAAGGAGGAUGAUGUGUAUUACAUACACCACUUUAAGGUUGUCCACCCUAGUCUGCCCUAUAGGGCUGUUGAUCAUCCUUGCAUGGCAAUGUUCACGAGGGACACAGAGAUAAGCAAGGAUGAACACGUGUCUGAUAGUUUUCCGGUGUAUGCAUACAAGAUAUCGCCUUAUGAAGUCCUCCGAUCACGUGAAAACAACACAGCUCUAAUGUCUGAUGCCAUUGGUCUUAUGCUGGAAGUUUCAAAUGUGAAAGCUGUUAUUGUCAACGGUGCACCUCGGGCAGUCCGUAACGUGUACAUAAGCGAUGGCAGAGAGACGGCCGCUGUUGCUUUGUGGGAGGCACAGGCAAAUCAAUUCCCAGCCGAGAUUCUGCAGCAGCAGAUGCAGCAAGGACCAGUUGUCAUUCUCUUUGUUGCCGUGACUGUCAAGCUGCGUGAAGGCCAACUGUGUUUGCAAGGAAGCAAAGUCUGUAGGUGGUAUCCCAAUGCUCCUAUUCCAGAAGUUUUAGCUUUGCAGAACAGUUCUGCUGGAGUUUCACAUGAGGCCAGAUUGGUUGACACAUCACCAACACAGACCCAGACGUGCAUGGCAGGGCUUUCUUCUGGAUGA